GCCUACGGGGGGCAGCAGUGGGGAAUAUUGCACAAUGGGGGGAACCCUGAUGCAGCGACGCCGCGUGAGUGAAGAAGUAUUUCGGUAUGUAAAGCUCUAUCAGCAGGGAAGAAAAUGACGGUACCUGACUAAGAAGCCCCGGCUAACUACGUGCCAGCAGCCGCGGUAAUACGUAGGGGGCAAGCGUUAUCCGGAUUUACUGGGUGUAAAGGGAGCGUAGACGGCGAUGCAAGUCUGAAGUGAAAGGCGGGGGCCCAACCCCCGGACUGCCUUGGAAACUGUAUAGCUGGAGUGCAGGAGAGGUA
rnacentral:rRNA from 1 species